CCACUGUUGUAAGGGAAGAACGUUAUUAGUAGGAAAUGGCUAAUAAGUGACGGUACCUUACCAGAAAGGGACGGCGUAACUACGUGCCAGCAGCCGCGGUAAUACGUAGGUCCCGAGCGUUAUCCGGAAUUAUUGGGCGUAAAGGGGCACGUAGGCGGACAAAUAAGUUUGAUGUCAAAUAUGAUGGCUCAACCAUCAAGAGGCGUUGAAAACUGUUUAUCUAGAAUCUCGGAGAGGUAAGUGGAAGUUCCAUGUGUAGCGGUGGAAUGCGUAGAUAUAUGGAGGAACACCAAUGGCGAAGGCAGCUUACUGGACGAAGAUUGACGCUGAGGUGCGAAAGCGUGGGUAGCAAACAGGAUUAGAUACCCCUGGUAG
rnacentral:rRNA from 1 species